rnacentral:tRNA from 1 species
GCCCCCAUAGCUCAAUGGAUAGAGCGUUUGCUUGCGGAGCAAAAGGCUUGGCGUUCGAGUCGCCAUGGGGGCG